GUUCGGUUGAUUAGGAAUCUUAGCCAUGAGUUUGUCCUCAUCCAUAUGACAAUGGCCCUAAAGCCCAUGUUGUUUAUUGAUAGCCUAUGUAUGAGGCCAGCCAGAACCAAGGAGGAAAUAAGGGAGAUGGUAGCAAAGUCUAUAUGGAUGGAGGAUAUGAGGGAUUUUCACAAGCUUCACAUGCAAUAUGAGGCUUCUACGAGAGAGAAGAAGGAAGGCAAGAAGAGGGUCUAUGGUGAAGGCAAGAUGGAUGAGUCUCGGUCGAAGGACUUACCUGAGCAACGUUUCCACUAAUUCACCUUGGAGUGAUGUCCCACAAACUGGCCAUAUUCAAAGAGGCCCAUCUUGACAAAUUGGCAAGUGUACCAAAUCGUACAAGUAAUAUAAAUGGUAAGACCAAGUAUCGUUUUCCCAAGAGACUCGUGUGGCUUUCUCGUUCGCGUGAAUUAAAAUAAUAAGGCUUGAAAAAUAAAAAUUAAUAAAUUGGAUUUGAGAACAAAAAUAUUAACAUGCAAAAAUAAAGUUGAUUCAAUUGACAAACGAAAACAAUGGAUGAAUGGAUGUUGUUGGGGGUUACAAUUUCAUCUAUUCCGCUCUCUCUUACAUACUACCCUUGAAUAUUAGUUUGAUUAAUUGUUAUGCAACUUUCUUAGCCUCCCCUUAACCCGAUCCCUUGGCGAAAAGGGCCUAAUAUUAACUACUGGCUUGUUAUCCCUAGCCUCCCCUAGUAAUUAAUACCGCAUUAUAAACAGAAGUUAGCACAAUUGAUCGUUCUACCCCUAUCCCUAGGUGGUAUUGCAAAAUCAAGAGAUUACUCACCAGUUCAUGUCAUUACUGUACGUCCCCAUAUCAAUAAAGACAAACAUCAAUAUAUUGAAUGAGUUAAACGAUAAUGGCCUUAAGCACAGAUGAU
rnacentral:lncRNA from 1 species